rnacentral:lncRNA from 1 species
GAUAGUGCAGAUAUUAUGAAGAAGCAGGUGGGCUUUCAGUUGCUUGGAGCCAUCCAAUCAUAACGGACCAUUGCAUCAUCCCUGGAGAUCCUGCCAAGUGGCACUUCCUCAUCGGCAGGGAGCCAUUUCUUUAGAAUAACUUAGCCAAUAAAAAGGAAGCGUAUACAAACCCAACUCUACCUCCCUUCUCCUCUCCCCAGUAACAGCCUCAAAAUUCUCCCUUUACGGUUGAGAAGCGCGCCCUCGUGCUUUUGGUUCUUCCUACCGUUGUUAGGAAGCGUGACGCAACCUCCUGGUGGGCUCGGGUUACUGAAACCCUGGAUUCUGACUCUUUCAAUGACUGCCUAAUCUCCUCAACUCGUCAGCCAUCUGGAACCAAGUUGAGAGGUAGUCAAGAAAACCAUUUCAAAGGGGUC